ensembl:lncRNA
CUUGACCUUUCGGGGGAAAAAAAACACUUUCUCAGGGACGGUGACAGCGAAACGGAUAACAGUCUUCAGUACCUGCUGGACUUUGAAGCUGUGGAUUCUGGGACUGUUAGAAAAGCGCCAACAAAAUGAGGAAGAGGAGGGGCAGAAACACAAUUAGGUUGAAUUACAAUUGGAUGGAAGGCGAGGACAAGGAGAAGGAAGCUUAGGAUGAGGAGGAAGAGAAGCAGCAGGAGCAUCUUUAGGGAUCCCUAUCAUGUCAUUGAGAGGCAGCAGCGAGAGGGGAGACCUCGGCUCAUCCAGCUGGAGAGCUUGACCAGGAGGAGUCGAACAUUAACUCAGCUCUUCCAGGGCACCCUGCAGACUCGGCUGCUGGCAUCGGCGAGGGAUGACGUGAACGCCAAACUGGAGUCCAUCACAGGUCAACUGCAGCUCCUUGUCUCAGAGUGGGAGGGAUUUGAAGCACAAAGGGAGGAACUUGUCGUUUGGUUGGCUGAUAUGGAUGUCCGCCUGAGUGAGGUUGACCAGCUGACAGGAAACACCAGUGAAAAACUGAAACAAGUGCAGGUGUGGGCUUGUUUUGAUAUGACAUAUUUGAUAUGAUACAUACGUCAGAGACAUUGUCCUAAACUGGACUAACAAAGGACCAUGAGUACAACAUGAAACGUACAUUACAUAACGUAAGGCUGAAGUUCAUUGAUCAUUUUAAUCAUAAACUUGUUGAAAUGUUUUUACUGAAUAUGCAAACAUCUGCUGAUGAAAAUGUGUUGAUUUAUUGGUCUGUUAUGAAGCUAUUUCUAUUUCUAAUGUGUUUUAUCACUUUCUGAUGUUUUAUUAAUUAAACAAUACAUGUAUUAUUUGUUGUGUUAUCUGUAGCUAUAGUAUUUAUAUAUAUUUAUUUAUAGUAUAGCAAAUAUAUUU